GGAUUGUGGCUCACUGGCAGAGCGCUUGCUUUGCACAUGUGAGGUCCUGGGUUCAAUCCUCAGCACCA
rnacentral:tRNA from 1 species